rnacentral:rRNA from 1 species
GACGAACGCUGGCGACGCGCUUAACACAUGCAAGUCGAACGGAAAGGCCUGCUUUCCCUUGUGGAUUGCGGGUACUCGAGUGGCGAACGGGUGAGUAACACGUGAGUGAUCUGCCCCCAACUUGGGUAUAAGCCUGGGAAACUGGGUCUAAUUCCCGAUAGGACUGCAGGGUGGUGCCUGUGGUGGAAAACGAUUUUCUAGUGGUUGGGGAUGAGCUCGCGGCCUAUCAGCUUGUUGGUGGGGUAAUGGCCUACCAAGGCGGCGACGGGUAGCCGGCCUGAGAGGGUGGACGGCCACAUUGGGACUGAGAUACGGCCCAGACUCCUACGGGAGGCAGCAGUGGGGAAUAUUGCACAAUGGGCGGAAGCCUGAUGCAGCGACGCCGCGUGGGGGAUGACGGCCUUCGGGUUGUAAACUCCUUUCGACCGCGAGGAAGCCACCUGGUUGGAAGGGUGGUGACGGUAGUGGUAGAAGAAGCACCGGCUAACUGCGUGC